rnacentral:rRNA from 1 species
AGAGUUUGAUCAUGGCUCAGGAUGAACGCUAGCUACAGGCUUAACACAUGCAAGUCGAGGGGCAGCAUGUUGGUUGCUUGCAACCAAUGAUGGCGACCGGCGCACGGGUGAGUAACGCGUAUCCAACCUACCCUUGUCCAUCGGAUAACCCGUCGAAAGGCGGCCUAACACGAUAUGCGGUUCACAGCAGGCAUCUAAGGUGAACGAAAUGUGAAGGAGAAGGAUGGGGAUGCGUCUGAUUAGCUUGUUGCGGGGUAAGCCACAAGGCGACGAUCAGUAGGGGUUCUGAGAGGAAGGUCCCCCAAUUGGAACUGAGACACGGUCCAAACUCCUAGGGAGCA